UAAGAUGCCUAGGAAGUGUGUCAUUUGUAAUGUUUAUGAUAAAAAUAGUGACCAAUCAUUUUAUUCCUUUCCUAAGGAUGAGGGUCGCAAGAAUUUGUGGUUAAAAGCUUGUGGAAUUGACCUAUAUCUACCAUCAUACAGAGUUUGUGAGGCUCAUUUUUCUGAUGAAGACUUUUUACCAAGUGGUUACUUAAAAAGUAUUGCUAUUCCAGUAAAUAAUUCUAAACAGCCAGAAUUAUUAGAAUCCACAAAUACAGUUUUUGAGUCAACUUCUCAAGAAACUCUGUCGCCCGAUUGUUAAUGGUGAUCCCGGUUUUACUGACGAAGCAUUUAAAUGCAUAGAAAAUAAAGCAAAAAACGAGACUGUUAUAUGCAAUAUUGUACUUGAUGAAAUGUCUAUUAGAGAACAAACUGACUGGGAUGGAACAAAAAUGCACGGGUUUGUUGAUAUGGGUACAAAAUCAACUGCAAUAUAUAUCAUAAAUAUCUAAUUGAUGAUUCGAGACAUAUAUUUAAAAUAAUAC